AUCGAGGUCAUUAGAGCGCUUGGGCAAGGGAAGGCGGGGAAGGAAAUAGGCGACGUCGUGUCGUCUUCAAAGAAACUAACCGUGCAUUCGUUUUCAGCUAUUUGGGGAAGCGAUGGAGAACCAAAAUCUGGAGGUACAUGUUGUGGUGUCACAAGGCUUAGGCCUGUCCCACACCUCAUUACAUCGACCAAGACUUAUGCGAAUAAUUAUAACGUGGAAGACGUUGCCCAACGAUCAUCACGAAAGUUCGACGUAGCGGCAAGUGGGCAAGGAAUAAAACGAAUGCUGCAAACUACCGCGAGCCAUGGAAGAGCCUGGGCCGCGAGGGCGUCGAGCUUCCUAGGUCGUCGUUGGACAACGUCAAAGGAAGAGAUAUUCU